ensembl:lncRNA
UGAUGUGUGUGUGUGUGUGUGUGUGUGUGUGUGUGUGUGUGUGUGUGUGUGUGUGUAUGUGUGUGUUUGUCUGUGUUUGUGUGUGUGUGUGAGAUGCUGAUGAUUGAUGAGUGUAUUAUUGAAUUGUUAGUGAGAUGCUGAUGAUUGAUGAGUGUAUUAUUUGUCAGGAGCUAUAUGGGAUAUAUAAAGUGUGUUAUGAUGUUAUGAGGUUAUGAGGUGUGUUAUGAUGUUAUGAGGCUAUGAGGUGUGUUAAGAUGUUAUGAGGUUAUGAGGUGUGUUAUGAUGUUACGAGGUUAUGAAGUGUGUUGUGAGGUUAUGAGGUUAAGAUGUUAUGAAGUGUGUUAUGAGGUUAUGAGGUGUGUUAUGAGGUUAUGAGGUGUGUUAUGAUGUUAUGAGGUGUGUUAUGAGGUUAUGAGGUGUGUUAUGAUGUUAUGAUGUUAUGAGGUGUGUUAUGAUGUUAUGUGGUGUGUUAUGAUGUUAUGAGGUGUGUUAUGAUGUUAUGAGGUGUGUUAUGAGGUGUGUUAUGAUGUUAUGAUGUUAUGAGGUUAUGAGGUGUGUUAUGAGGUGUGUUAUGAGGUUAUGAUGUUAUGGGGUUAUGAGGUUAUGAGGUGUGUUAUGAUGUUAUGAGGUUAUGAGGUUAUGAGGUUAUGAGGUUAUGAGGUGUGUUAUGAUGUUAUGAUGUUAUGAGUUGUGUUGUGAUGUUAUGAGGUUAUGAGGUUAUGAGGUGUGUUAUGAGGUUAUGAUGUGUGUUAUGAUGUUAUGAGGUUAUGAUGUUAUGAGGUGUGUUAUGAGGUUAUGAGGUGUGUUAUGAGGUGUGUUAUGAGGUGUGUUAUGAGGUGUGUUAUAAGGUUAUGGGGUGUGUUAUGAGGUGUUUUAUGAGGUGAUGAUGUUAUGAUGUUAUGAGGUGUGUUAUGAUGUGUGUUAUGAGGAGAUUAUGUUAUGAUGUGUGUUGUGAGGUUAUG